UACGGGGGGGGCAAGCGUUGUUCGGAAUUACUGGGCGUAAAGGGCUCGUAGGUGGCCAACUAAGUCGGACGUGAAAUCCCUCGGCUUAACCGGGGAACUGCGUCCGAUACUGGUUGGCUUGAGUUUGGGAGAGGGAUGCGGAAUUCCAGGUGUAGCGGUGAAAUGCGUAGAUAUCUGGAGGAACACCGGAGGCGAAGGCGGCUCACUGGGGGUUUUCUGACGCUGAGGAACGAAAGCCAGGGGAGCGAACGGG
rnacentral:rRNA from 1 species